rnacentral:rRNA from 1 species
CGAACGCUGGCGGCGUGCUUAACACAUGCAAGUCGAACGGAAAGGCCCUGCUUGCAGGGUACUCGAGUGGCGAACGGGUGAGUAACACGUGGGUGAUCUGCCCUGCACUUCGGGAUAAGCCUGGGAAACUGGGUCUAAUACCGGAUAGGAGCCAUUUUUAGUGUGAUGGUUGGAAAGUUUUUUCGGUGUAGGAUAAGCUCGCGGCCUAUCAGCUUGUUGGUGGGGUAAUGGCCUACCAAGGCGGCGACGGGUAGCCGGCCUGAGAGGGUGGACGGCCACAUUGGGACUGAGAUACGGCCCAGACUCCUACGGGAGGCAGCAGUGGGGAAUAUUGCACAAUGGGCGCAAGCCUGAUGCAGCGACGCCGCGUGGGGGAUGACGGCCUUCGGGUUGUAAACUCCUUUCGCUAGGGACGAAGCUUUUUGUGACGGUACCUAGAUAAGAAGCACCGGCUAACUACGUG